rnacentral:rRNA from 1 species
AACGAACGCUGGCGGCAUGCCUAACACAUGCAAGUCGAACGAGACCUUCGGGUCUAGUGGCGCACGGGUGCGUAACGCGUGGGAACCUGCCCUUAGGUUCGGAAUAACUCCCCGAAAGGGGUGCUAAUACCGGAUAAUGUCUUCGGACCAAAGAUUUAUCGCCUUUGGAUGGGCCCGCGUUGGAUUAGCUAGUUGGUAGGGUAAAAGCCUACCAAGGCGACGAUCCAUAGCUGGUCGGAGAGGAUGAUCAGCCACACUGGGACUGAGACACGGCCCAGACUCCUACGGGAGGCAGCAGUGUGGAAUAUUGGACGAUGGGCGAAAGCCUGAUCCAGCAAUGCCGCGUGAGUGAUGAAGGCCUUAGGAUUGUAAAGCUCUUUUACCCGAGAUGAUAAUGACAGUACCGGGAGAAUAAGCUCCGGCUAACUCCGUG